rnacentral:rRNA from 1 species
UAGGGAAUCUUCGGCAAUGGACGAAGGUCUGACCGAGCAACGCCGCGUGAGUGAAGAAGGUUUUCGGAUCGUAAAACUCUGUUGGUAGAGAAGAACGUUGGUGAGAGUGGAAAGCUCAUCAAGUGACGGUAACUACCCAGAAAGGGACGGCUAACUACGUGUCAG